CGGCGCGCAUGUGACGGAGAUAAGCUGCCGCGGCUCGCGCUUGCCGUUCGUUAAACCGGGACGACGGAGAACCGAACCGGCUGAGACCCAUCGCGCGGAAGAAAUAUAUGAAAGGGCGCACGGGGACGAUGGACGGUUAUGGGCUUCCGGAUGAUGAGCACUUCUCCUGUCUGCUCAACUUCACCUGCGAGGAUUCAUCUGAGCAGCUCAUGUAUCAUACAGUAUGCUGUGGGCCUUCACAGAGAGAGAGAGAGAGAGAGAGAGAGAGAGAGAGAGAGAGAAUUAAGGACAUGUGAGGGAAAGGUUUGAGGAGCAGCACCUGGCCGGUGAAGUGGAGCAAGCAGGAGAGAACGGAGAGCUCUGGGAAACAGAUCACUACUUUGGAAAAGGAAGGUAAUGCUGAUGUGAACACGCUCACCUGGGGAUGACAUAAAUCACUGAUCGGCCAGAGGAGCCGACAGCCGCUGAAUACACAGGAAGAGAUAGAGAGGAGAAUGAAGGGAGAGGAUAAGAGGAGAAAGAGAGAACUACUGAGACACUGGAAGAAAGGGCCAUUGUGAGUGUGUGUGUGUGUGUGUGUGUGUGAGAGAGAGAGAGUAUCAGCUUUGUCUCAGAUGCGUGUUCUUAAAUCCGAUGGGAUGAGUGAAAAUAUAAACCAAAAAACAACAGAGUGCAGCAGCAGCAUCGUGUCCAUUCAACAAUGACUGGGAUUUUGAGCCAAGGGACUUUUGAAAAUAAUAUCUUCGUAUCAUUAAAAAGGAUGAUUAUUGUAAAUCAGAAGUGUUUGUCUAAAACUCUGAAUCAGAAAUCACUCGAUCAUGUCUAAAUUUAGGACACGUCAGUCAUACUUUCUGCUGAUCAUCAACAUUAACACCAUCAUGAUGCUGGAAAUGGAAAAGAUUUCAUGAUGAAAAUGUAAAAGAUGCUCUUUUCCUUUAAAAUAAAUACAAUCAAUCAAUCA
ensembl:lncRNA